UAUCACGUGACGCAGCGGUUAUCAUCCUAGCCUUCCAUGAUCUAGCACUCUAGAUGAGUUAGCUAGGGACUCGGGUUCGACUCCCGAACGGCGCAAUAG